rnacentral:rRNA from 1 species
CGGGUGAGUAACGCGUGGGCAACCUACCCUGUACACACGGAUAACAUACCGAAAGGUAUGCUAAUACAGGAUAAUAUAUUUGAGAGGCAUCUCUUGAAUAUCAAAGGUGAGCCAGUACAGGAUGGACCCGCGUCUGAUUAGCUAGUUGGUAAGGUAACGGCUUACCAAGGCGACGAUCAGUAGCCGACCUGAGAGGGUGAUCGGCCACAUUGGAACUGAGACACGGUCCAA